rfam:Flavobacterium frigoris strain DSM 15719 genome assembly, contig: Ga0131223_103
GCCUAGCCCAGAUAGAAAUGGAAAUCCUUUUACUUUUAUAUUUAAAAAGUAAAAGAUUGCAAUGGAUAGCUGAAAAUAGC